rnacentral:rRNA from 1 species
GGCUUAGAGUUUGAUCAUGGCUCAGGAUGAACGCUGGCGGCGUGCCUAACACAUGCAAGUCGAGCGAAGCACUCCACUUUGAUUUCUUCGGAUUGAAGAGUGGUUUGACUGAGCGGCGGACGGGUGAGUAACGCGUGGGUAACCUGCCUCAUACAGGGGGAUAACAGUUAGAAAUGACUGCUAAUACCGCAUAAGACCACAGCACCGCAUGGUGCAGGGGUAAAAACUCCGGUGGUAUGAGAUGGACCCGCGUCUGAUUAGCUAGUUGGUAAGGUAACGGCUUACCAAGGCGACGAUCAGUAGCCGACCUGAGAGGGUGACCGGCCACAUUGGGACUGAGACACGGCCCAAACUCCUACGGGAGGCAGCAGUGGGGAAUAUUGCACAAUGGGGGAAACCCUGAUGCAGCGACGCCGCGUGAGCGAAGAAGUAUUUCGGUAUGUAAAGCUCUAUCAGCAGGGAAGAAAGUGACGGUACCUGACUAAGAAGCACCGGCUAAAUACGUGCCAGCAGCCGCGGUAAUACGUAUGGUGCAAGCGUUAUCCGGAUUUACUGGGUGUAAAGGGAGCGUAGACGGAUAGGCAAGUCUGGAGUGAAAACCCGGGGCUCAACCCCGGGACUGCUUUGGAAACUGUUUAUCUAGAGUGCUGGAGAGGUAAGUG